GGAAUAUUGGACAAUGGGGGCAACCCUGAUCCAGCAAUGCCGCGUGAGUGAAGAAGGCCUUCGGGUUGUAAAGCUCUUUUACCCGGGAAGAUAAUGACUGUACCGGGAGAAUAAGCCCCGGCUAACUCCGUGCCAGCAGCCGCGGUAAUACGGAGGGGGCUAGCGUUGUUCGGAAUUACUGGGCGUAAAGCGCGCGUAGGCGGCUUGGUAAGUUAGAGGUGAAAGCCCGGGGCUCAACCCCGGAAUAGCCUUUAAGACUGCUUCGCUUGAACGUCGGAGAGGUGAGUGGAAUUCCGAGUGUAGAGGUGGAAUUCGUAGAUAUUCGGAAGAACACCAGUGGCGAAGGCGGCUCACUGGACGACUGUUGACGCUGAGGUGCGAAAGCGUGGGGAGCAAAC
rnacentral:rRNA from 1 species